CUCGUAGGCGGCCAACUAAGUCAGACGUGAAAUCCCUCGGCUUAACCGGGGAACUGCGUCUGAUACUGGAUGGCUUGAAUCCGGGAGAGGGAUGUGGAAUUCCAGGUGUAGCGGUGAAAUGCGUAGAUAUCUGGAGGAACACCGGUGGCGAAGGCGGCAUCCUGGACCGGUAUUGACGCUGAGUGAGCGAAAGCCAGGGGAGCAAACGG
rnacentral:rRNA from 1 species